UGUAAGAUAGAAUGUGUGAUUUGAGCGC
rnacentral:sRNA from 1 species